CCUACGGGAGGCAGCAGUGAGGAAUAUUGGUCAAUGGGCGGAAGCCUGAACCAGCCAAGUAGCGUGAAGGACGAAGGUGCCAAGCAUUGUAAACUUCUUUUGUCAAGGGACAAAAUCAGGCUCGAGAGCCUGACCGAGGGUACUUGAAGAAAAAGCAUCGGCUAACUGCGUGCCAGCAGCCGCGGUAAUACGGAGGAUGCGAGCGUUAUCCGGAUUUAUUGGGUUUAAAGGGUGCGUAGGCGGGCUGUUAAGUCAGCGGUAAAAGCCCGGGGCUCAACCCCGGCGAGCCGUUGAAACUGGCUGUCUUGAGAUGUCGAGAGGUAUGCGGAAUGCGCAGUGUAGCGGUGAAAUGCUUAGAUAUUGCGCAGAACUCCGAUUGCGAAGGCAGCAUACCGGCGGCGAUCUGACGCUGAGGCACGAAAGCGUGGGUAUCGAACAGGAUUAGAUACCCCUGUAGUC
rnacentral:rRNA from 1 species